UGGGGAAUAUUGGACAAUGGGCGCAAGCCUGAUCCAGCCAUACCGCGUGGGUGAAGAAGGCCUUCGGGUUGUAAAGCCCUUUUGUUGGGAAAGAAAAGCAGUCGGUUAAUACCCGAUUGUUCUGACGGUACCCAAAAGAAAUAAAGCACCGGCUAAACUUCGUGCCAGCAGCCGCGGUAAUACGAAGGGUGCAAGCGUUACUCGGAAUUACUGGGCGUAAAGCGUGCGUAGGUGGUUGUUUAAAGUCUGUCGUGAAAGCCCUGGGCUCAACCUGGGAAUUGCGAUGGAAAACUGGGCGACUAGAGUGUGGCAGAGGGUAGUGGAAUUCCUGGUGUAGCAGUGAAAUGCGUAGAGAUCAGGAGGAACAUCCGUGGCGAAGGCGACUGCCUGGGCCAACACUGACACUGAGGCACGAAAAGCGUGGGGAGCAAACAGGAUUAGAUACCCUGGUAGUCCACGCCCUAAACGAUGCGAACUGGAUGUUGGGUGCAAUUUGGCACGCAGUAUCGAAGCUAACGCGUUAAGUUCGCCGCCUGGGGAGUACGGUCGCAAGACUGAAAACUUAAAGGAAUUGACGGGG
rnacentral:rRNA from 1 species